ensembl:snRNA U2 U2 spliceosomal RNA
AUUUCCAGGCCUUUUGGCUGAGAUCAAGUACAGUAUCUGUUCUUAUCUGUUUAAUAUCUGAUAUGUCCUCUAUCUAAGGACAAUAUAUUAAAUGGAUUUUUGGAGCUGGGUCAUAGAAUAGGAACUUGCUCCAUCUACUCUGUACAUUGACCUGGUAUUACAGUACCUCCAGGAACCCUCA